AUUGAACGCUAGCGGGAUGCUUUACACAUGCAAGUCGAACGAGUGGCGGACGGGUGAGUAAUAUAUCGGAACGUGCCCAGUAGCGGGGGAUAACUACUCGAAAGAGUGGCUAAUACCGCAUACUAUGGGAGCGGCCGAUAUCGGAUUAGCUAGUUGGGGGGGUAACGGCUCACCAAGGCAACGAUCCGUAGAUGGUUUGAGAGGCCGACCAGCCACACUGGAACUGAGAGACGGCCCAGACUCCUACGGGAGGCAGCAGUGGGGAAGUUUGGACAAUGGGGGAAACCCUGAUCCAGCCAUGCCGCGUGUAUGAGAAGGCCUUCGGGUUGUAAAGUACUUUUGGCAGAGAAGCGGUAUCUGCAGAAUAAGCACCGGCUAACUACGUGCCAGCAGCCGCGGUAAUUC
rnacentral:rRNA from 1 species